rnacentral:rRNA from 1 species
GGUUUCCCUUUACGAAUUGUAGUUUAAAGAAGUGUUUUCUGUUGGAGUUUCGGUAAAAGUUCUUUGGAAUAGGACAUCAUAGAGGGUGAGAAUCCCGUAUUUGACCGUUACUUUCCACUGUGUGAUACACUUUCAAAGAGUCGGAUUGUUUGGGAAUGCAGUCCAAAAUGGGUGGUAAAUUUCAUCUAAAGCUAAAUAUUGGCGAGAGACCGAUAGCGAACAAGUACCGUGAGGGAAAGAUGAAAAGAACUUUGAAAAGAGAGUUAAACAGUACGUGAAAUUGUCAAAAGGGAAGCGUUUGACACCAGUGUUGUUUAGUUGAAAAUCAAUUAAAUAAUUUUUGAUUUUGAGUAGUAUUGACUUCAUCAGCUUGCUGCUCUCUUUUCGGAGAUUAUUU